GUAGGUGGCAAGCGUUGUCCGGAAUUAUUGGGCGUAAAGCGCGCGCAGGCGGUUUUUAAGUCUGAUGUGAAAGCCCACGGCUCAACCGUGGAGGGACAUUGGAAACUGGAGAACUUGAGUACAGAAGAGGAAAGCGGAAUUCCACGUGUAGCGGUGAAAUGCGUAGAGAUGUGGAGGAACACCAGUGGCGAAGGCGGCUUUCUGGUCUGUAACUGACGCUGAGGCGCGAAAGCGUGGGGAGCAAACAGGGAUUAGAUACCCUGGUAGUCCACGCCGUAAACGAUGAGUGCUAAGUGUUAGGGGGUUUCCCGCCCCUUAGUGCUGCAGCUAACGCAUUAAGCACUCCGCCUGGGGAGUACGGCCGCAAGGCUG
rnacentral:rRNA from 1 species